rnacentral:rRNA from 1 species
UACACUCCUGCGGGAGGCAGCAGUGGGGAAUAUUGGACAAUGGGCGCAAGCCUGAUCCAGCCAUGCCGCGUGAGUGAUGAAGGCCCUAGGGUUGUAAAGCUCUUUCACCGGUGAAGAUAAUGACGGUAACCGGCGAAGAAGCCCCGGCUAACUUCGUGCCAGCAGCCGCGGUAAUACGAAGGGGGCUAGCGUUGUUCGGAUUUACUGGGCGUAAAGCGCACGUAGGCGGACUAUUAAGUCAGGGGUGAAAUCCCGGGGCUCAACCCCGGAACUGCCUUUGAUACUGGUAGUCUUGAGUUCGAGAGAGGUGAGUGGAAUUCCGAGUGUAGAGGUGAAAUUCGUAGAUAUUCGGAGGAACACCAGUGGCGAAGGCGGCUCACUGGCUCGAUACUGACGCUGAGGUGCGAAAGCGUGGGGAGCAAACAGGAUUAGAAACCCUAGUAGUCCCAUGA